rnacentral:rRNA from 1 species
GCGCCCGCGGAGCUCGCUCCCGGGGCUACCCUACUUCAGUAGGGUUUAGAGUCGUCGGGCCUCUCAGAGAAGCUCGGUCCUGAACUCCACCCUUGAAUAAACUACCUUUGUUGCUUUGGCGGGCCGCCUCGUGCCAGCGGCUUCGGCUGUUGAGUGCCCGCCAGAGGACCAUAACUCUUGUUUUUAGUGAUGUCUGAGUACUAUAUAAUAGUUAAAACUUUCAACAACGGAUCUCUUGGUUCUGGCAUCGAUGAAGAACGCAGCGAAAUGCGAUAAGUAAUGUGAAUUGCAGAAUUCAGUGAAUCAUCGAAUCUUUGAACGCACAUUGCGCCCUCUGGUAUUCCGGGGGGCAUGCCUGUUCGAGCGUCAUUAUAACCACUCAAGCUCUCGCUUGGUAUUGGGGUUCGCGGUUUCGCGGCCCCUAAAAUCAGUGGCGGUGCCUAUCGGCUCUACGCGUAGUAAUACUCCUCGCGAUUGAGUCCGGUAGGUCUACUUGCCAGCAACCCCUAAUUUUUUUAAGGUUGACCUCGGAUCAGGUAGGGAUACCCGCUGAACUUAAGCAUAUCAAUAAGCGGAGGAAAAGAAACCAACAGGGAUUACCUUAGUAACGGCGAGUGAAGCGGUAACAGCUCAAAUUUGAAAGCUGGCUCUUUUAGGGUCCGCGUUGUAAUUUGUAGAAGAUGCUUCGGGUGUGGCCCCGGUCUAAGUUCCUUGGAACAGGACGUCAUAGAGGGUGAGAAUCCCGUAUGUGACUGGGUGC